AUCUUCGGCAAUGGGCGAAAGCCUGACCGAGCGACGCCGCGUGUGCGAUGAAGGCCUUUUGGUUGUAAAGCACUGUCGAAGGGGAGCAAGCCGCAAGGUUGAGAGUACCCUUGGAGGAAGCACGGGCUAAGUUCGUGCCAGCAGCCGCGGUAAGACGAACCGUGCGAACGUUAUUCGGAAUCACUGGGCUUAAAGGGUGCGUAGGCGGGUGGACAAGUCGAGGGUGAAAGCCUCUAGCUUAACUAGAGAAGUGCCCUCGAUACUGUUUGUCUUGAGAGAGAUAGGGGCACACGGAACUUCCGGUGGAGCGGUGAAAUGCGUAGAUAUCGGAAGGAACGCCGGUGGCGAAAGCGGUGUGCUGGAUCUUUUCUGACGCUGAGGCACGAAAGCUAGGGUAGCGAACGGGAUUAGAUACCCCGGUAGUCCUAGCCCUAAACGAUGAGUACUAGAUUGUGGACUGACAUGGGUUCACAGUCGAAGCAAAAGUAUUAAGUACUCCGCCUGGGGAGUAUGGUCGCAAGGCUGAAACUCAAAGGAA
rnacentral:rRNA from 1 species